rnacentral:pre_miRNA from 1 species
UCUUCAUUCUUCACACUAUCUAACCGGUCAGAGACGCAAGAGAGUGUGCGAAAUGAAGAGA